CCUUAUUUUUAAUAUUUAAUUAGCCAUGUCGAGGUCAACAAGGCGCAUGCUUUAUACGUCAUCUCCAAGGACCCUUCCUGUCCCUCGUGUCAUAACAUGGUCGUCUUUGAACUGAGUAACCUGGCAAUGACACUAGCCCAGUGCCGGCUGAAUUAAAAGUGUGAAUCGAGGAUCUCUUAGCCGAAGCCAUGCCUCGCUACGAGCUGGCCUUGAUCCUGAAGGCGAUGCAGCGGCCGGAGACAGCUGCUGCUCUCCGGCGGUCGGUGGAGACUUUGAUGGAGCGGGGCGCGGUGGUGAGGGACCUGGAGAACCUGGGAGAGAGACUCCUGCCCUACAAGAUAACCAAGCACAAUCAAAAGCACACCCGGGGGGCAUACUUUCUGGUCGACUUCUACGCAGCUCCCAGCAUCGUCACAGGCUUACUGGAUCACCUGCACCGUGAUGUGGACGUGGUGAGGCCCACUGUGCUGAAGAAAGACGCCGAAGCUCCCGGCAGUAGCUGCUGUGGCCCCCAACAGUGAUUGAAUGUAAGGCGGGUGAAGAUAAAGUUUUCACAGCUCAAAUCCAGAAGAUGGACAGUGUUGUUCUUCUUGGCUUCGAGUUAAAACAUUUCAUAGAUUGCGCUCCACCUGUUUAGUGAAGUGAUGGCAAUUUCACUUCUUUUUUUCAUUCUGGACCUAGAUGCAUCCAAACUUGAUCACUAUCUUCUGAGAAAACUCUGUAAGUUAUAAACAACUAUGACAGUGCCAAUGAGCUUGAAAACAUGAGUGAGUUGUUAUCAUUGGAUCAAAUAAAACAACUUUGCAUGAUUA